UACGGGGGGAGCGAGCGUUGUUCGGAUUUACUGGGCGUAAAGGGCGCGUAGGCGGUCAGCACAAGUCAGUUGUGAAAUCUCCGGGCUUAACUCGGAAAGGUCAACUGAUACUGUGCGACUAGAGUGCAGAAGGGGCAACUGGAAUUCUCGGUGUAGCGGUGAAAUGCGUAGAUAUCGAGAGGAACACCUGCGGCGAAGGCGGGUUGCUGGGCUGACACUGACGCUGAUGCGCGAAAGCCAGGGGAGCGAACGGG
rnacentral:rRNA from 1 species